UUGGAGUUAUCCAAAUUUAGUUUUGUGAGACACCUGUUUGUUAGCAGUUGAACACAUUACAUGGUGAGCAGAAAAUGGCGGAAUCUGAUGCUGAGUUUGAAUCUGAUGGCACUAGCAAAGAUGAGAAUGAAGGUGACGACAAUACUGGACGGACAACCGUCACUGAAGGACAGAUAAAGAGAGCUCAAAUCACAAUGAAAAAAACAUCUAAGCCUACUACUAAUUGAUUUUUAGUAUAAUAAGACAAAUACUUCAACUAGGCCUACUUCACAGUUUGUAGUAGCAGCAUGGUUUAAGGAUAAGAAGAUGUACCUGGGAGAUCUGUUUUGAUGUUAAAUGGUGAAUAAUCUGUUGGGUAAAGUGAAAUCUUUGAGGCUGACGAGAACUGGAAUUCUGUAGAUUUUUUUGUGUCGGCAGAACAAAAGGACUAUGCGUUGCGCCUCACCAGAAUCAAGGAGAAAGAGGUGACUGCCAUCGGAGCAGAGCACCAUUGAAGGGUGUUUUUUCUGGAGUCUCUGUGGAAGUUGGAGUGGAGAAGACCAAUAUGAAAAUGUCUGGAGUGUAGUUGGGAGUGAGUAUAGAGCAGACGGCACGGGUCAAAAUUUUGAUUUAUGGCCCUGUGUCCAGAUGAUGCGUACAUGUCCAAAUAUGGGCAUCCGGCCAGGACAUCCUGUUCCUGUUGUCACGUGUUAGAGGGUGUGUUAUUUUAUAUCUAUAUUGCAUCUAUUCCUUUGAAGUUGUCAUGCUGAUUGAUGUCUAGGUACCUGGUUGAACUGGGGGGUUCUGUGUUUGAACUUUUGAAAGAGUAUGGCCCCACACCCCUGUUUUAUUGCCUGUAGGAUUGCUAUCUAUGAAGCAGGAAUGUGUGUGUGUGUGUGUUAGAAACAAGGUCCCUUGGCAUUGUGUACAUUUCACGCUUUCAACAACAAUAAAACAGCCAUCUAAAUAAUGUUUCUCAGCCUAACACUCUGUUGAGUUUCCUAUUUAGUUCUCUUUAUAUGUACAUGCACAGAGCUUCCAGGUGGUUCCAGCCUAUGGAUGUUCGGUGCAUGUACACCAGGGAGAUUAGAACCUAAACAAGAUUUUUAAAAUAAAACCCAGAAUAUUAAACAUAAAAAUAUGUCUCCUAGGCCAAUUCUCGGGGUGCUAUGCGGCUCAUGUCAUGAACCCAAUGACAAAAGCCUGGAGGAUGUUUUGCGUGAGACCCCAGAAUGUUUUAAUGGAGUUAAUGGAGCCCUAAGAAUCGCUUCAAUGGCGUAUACCCCUGACUCCAAAGUGACAAUUUUAGCAUGUGAACAAUUUGAUAGAUUUCGUCGCAUUUGCACUGUCAGUUCAUAUGUAUUUUCCAAAGCAUGCAAGGAUGUAAACUUUUUUUUUAUGCCUGUGUUAAGUUUUAAAUGGCGUGAUUAUCAUAUCUUCAGAACACUUAUGAAUAAGCUGGACAGUCUUUUCCAAAAUCGUGAACAAUUACGGCGAUGGCCGAGGUUAUCGUUGAGACAAACACAGGACUCGCAAGCCAGAAGGAGGAUCUUUCCCUAGAGUGAAAACGUCCGGAGCUUUGAUGGAGCGGGCAAGCGUCUUUGCGAUGGUGAAUUGGAAACGGAUAAUGGUCAGGGCUAACCAGCCCCUUUAUCUGUCAGAAAUAGUAAAAAUGUUGAAUUAUAACGUGUGUUAAAAUGUAUGUACUAAAUAUUUUGAAUUAAAUCAUUGGUUUUAAAAAUGUAUCUCACCCUUUAACGAAAGGGGAAACUGUCUUUUCUCUCAUGCCCUGGUCUGUCGCAGAGAAAUGCAAUGUCUUAAAAAAACAAUGUAUUAUUUUAUAGUCUUUCC
ensembl:lncRNA